rnacentral:rRNA from 1 species
UAAUACGGAGGGUGCGAGCGUUAAUCGGAAUUACUGGGCGUAAAGGGCGCGUAGGCGGUGAAGUAAGUCGGGUGUGAAAGCCCCGGGCUCAACCUGGGAACUGCAUCCGAUACUGCUUCGCUAGAGUAUGGUAGAGGGAAGCGGAAUUCCGGGUGUAGCGGUGAAAUGCGUAGAUAUCCGGAGGAACACCAGUGGCGAAGGCGGCUUCCUGGACCAAUACUGACGCUGAGGCGCGAAAGCGUGGGGAUCAAACAGGAUUAGAUACCCUGGUAGUCCACGCCCUAAACGAUGAGAACU